rnacentral:tRNA from 2 species
GCCGGCGUAGCUCAGUCUGGUGGAGCACUCGGCUGUUAACCGAGCGGUCACCGGUUCAAAUCCGGUCGCCGGCG